GCCAUGUUUUUUUUCGACAACGACAAGAAGCGAAGAAGAAAAAAACCCUCUUUAUUUCUCACUUUACCGAUAAAACUAAAAGCUGAUGUGUUUUUUAAACGAAAAUCCGAAAAUCUGAGUUUUAAACGAUUACAUUUUUGAAGGACGGUUUGGUUUUAUCACGGAGGCAGCGCGAGUUUAGCAUGAAGCUAACAUGAAGCUAAUAGCUGAAAUGCCUCCACCUGAGCGUCAUCUUUCCUCAUUAUCUCCCAGACUCGGAUGGAAAUAACCCGUCUCAGUUCACAGCAGCCACCGCUUCCACCACCACCUCAGACCGGCUGUCCCUCCUUCUCUCAGGCCGCUGCAGGGGACUGCAAGGCGGGGAACGAGCGGUAGGAGACCCGGCGGUGGAAGAAGACGAGUGGAUCUCUGCUACUGACAGCUGCUUUAGCGAAAACAAGCCCUUCUGCUGUCCUUGAUGUUCCUUGACAGCGGAGCUUCUGAGAGACGGUUUGUUUCAUUGUGACCCACAGAAAGGCAGCAUGAUCCGCUGCAGCAGAGAAGAAGAGGGAGGCUUCCUCACCAUGUUUUUCUGGUUGUGUUUAAUUUGGACACAGCUGCUGAUCCCAGAGUGUUCUGCUGGAGGGCCCUUCCCUACCCACCAUCCGGGUCACCUCCCUCCAUCUCUGUACCCUCAGAGAGAUGCGAACAAGCUGCCAGAGUCCCGCUCCCACCUCCAUCGCCACCACCAGCGCCACCACCAGAACCCUGCCUGGGCUGCCCGGCACGAGUCUCGGCUUCAGCAGGAGCUCAGCGCCCGGCGGAGCCUGGACCUGCUGGAACAGCUGCAUCAGGAUGUGGAACCGGAUAACUUUGGCUGGCGUGUUGUACCCAAUGAAUAUGUGAUUACAAUGUACCUGGCUGUGGGUGUAAGGAGGCUGAACAUCAGCCACCUUCUUUGGUUCCGGGACAGUGUAGCGGCGGCGCUCGGUGUUGCUCCUCAACACGUUCACAUCAACAAGCUAAAUGCAAGAAACGGCAUCGAGCUCUUUGUGUCCUCUGAGAGGCGGGAUAUCUACGAGCUCCGCUCUGCUAAGGAAGUUGUCCAAUCACUGAAUCGCAGCGUUCUCCAUCACCAUUUGGCCAACUUUGGUAUCACAGAGGUCAAACCGGAGUGCUGCAGAAACAUCCCAGAUUCUUCUCCUUCAUCUCCGAAGAAAAACGUCCUGCAGGACGAGCAGAGGGAUCACGUCUGGAGCAGAGAUGGUCUCUACAAUAUUGUCCUCUUCUUCACCUUCUUCCUCAUCAUCAUCACCUGCUUGAUGGUUUUGUAUAGAAUGAAGCAGAAGGUUCCUGUUACUGAGAAGCACCUUAAAGCUCCGCCCCCUGACCACCACGUGAGCCUGACCAUCCCCCCAGACCCCUCCAAGAGGUCAAAGGGCAACAAGGUUGUGAAGUCAGAAAGCAUGGUCCAAUCCGAGCUUUUGUCAGCUGUAGCCACGCCCAUUCACCAGCAGCAGCAGCCAAUCAUAGCCUGCCGCCGCCUUGCUCCUACUGUCAUCCCUCUGCCGAGCCCCGCCCCUGUGCCCAUCAUUAACGCUGACAGCCACUCGCUGCCAACGAGCGCUCCCCCGGUGACGGCCAGUAACGAGCUGAAACCCUGCCCCUCCCCCUUCAGAAUGAAACCCGCUGCAGGCCUGCAGGAAAGACGAGGCUCUAACGUGUCCCUGGUGCUGGACAUGUCUGCUUUGGGCUCGGUAGAACCCCUGAAAGUUUCUGUGGUAACCCCCAGAGAGGCGGCGGCCAGAGAGUACCUGCUGUCGGCCGGACGACCGCUAACACGGCAGCAGCUUCGUGACAUCGUUGACAACACGCACAAACUGCAUGUUGAGUUUGCUGAAAUUCCAAUGAAUUUCAUUGAUCCCAAGGAGCUGGAUAUUCCAAACCACGGCACCAAGAACAGAUAUAAGACCAUACUGCCCAAUCCUCAUUCCAGAGUGAUCCUGAAGUCGAAGAGCUGCAACGACCUGCUGAGCUCCUACAUCAAUGCUAACUACAUACGGGGUUACCUAGGCGACAGCAGGGCCUUCAUCGCCACUCAGGGUCCCAUGGUGAACACGGUGAUCGACUUCUGGCAGAUGGCGUGGCAGGAGGAGUCGCCCGUCAUCGUAAUGAUAACCAAACUGAAGGAGAAGAACGAGAAGUGUGUCCUGUACUGGCCGGAGAAGAGGGGGAUCUACGGGAAGGUGGAGGUGCUGGUGAACAGCAGCAGAGAAUGUGAACACUACACGACUCGCAGCCUCACACUGAAGUGUGGGAAUCAAACCCGCGUGCUGCAGCAUUACUGGUACACGUCGUGGCCUGACCAUAAAACCCCGGACUCAGCGUUGCCGCUGCUGCAGCUCAUGGCCGACGUUGAGACGGACAGACGUGCCGCCGCCUUCGUGGGACCGGUUAUUGUCCACUGCAGUGCUGGGAUUGGCCGGACAGGAUGCUUCAUCGCUACGACGAUAGGCUGCCGGCAGCUGCAGGUGGAGGGGGUGGUGGACGUGCUGAGCAUCACCUGCCAGCUCCGAGCCGACAGAGGGGGUAUGAUCCAAACAGGCGAGCAGUACGAGUUCGUCCAUCACGCCCUGGGUCUGUACGAGGCCCGGCUGUUGGCAGAAUCCAGCCAGUGAGCGCCCCCCACCGCGGGACCUCGACUUCAGACCACCCGGGUGUUUAAGGAAAAGUCUCAUGAGCUUUACAAGUUCUCUCCCACUGGGGAGACUCCUGGACUGUGAAUAUUGUGAGCAGAGAUGGGAGAAGGAAAGAGGAGAAGAUCACUAAGUGGGACUGAGUAGUUCUGUCCAGUUUGUCACCUCCGAGGAGUGCUGAAAGGUAUAAAAAUUGCACAAACAUCAGUUUUUACAUCCAACUUUAAAUAAAUAAGAUGUAUGAAGGAACCAAAGGGAACCAGGGGAAAAAACAUUAUUCUUUAACCACCAGAGCAUUCUUAGGUCUCUGCAGCACCUGAUGAGCUCCUAAACUGUGGGAAAGCUGCUUUUGUCUUUAGCUAUAAAAACAAACAUUUAGGUUCUCCAUAAACAGAGUUCUAGGUUUUCUGAGAAAAUGAAAGUCUAUGGUAACAGAGCAUCAUAUACUUAAUUUGUAAGCCUUUUCAUUAUGUGGUUGCAGAGAUAAUCCCUUCUUCAAGCCACCUUUGACCAUCCACAAAUUAACCCCUUGAGCUAACCACAUCUGGCAAUGAUGAGCAGGUAGUUAAAUAAAACUGCCAUGGCAAAACCAGCUGCUUUUUUCUAACCUCACUUCACGCCCACUCGACAACUCAGCUCUGUGACUUCCUACCUUUAUGGCUCAGAAGUUGCAGGAGUGGAGGGUCGACUUCAACCCCGCCAUCUUGUUCCAGGGCUUUCCUCUUAAAAAGUCCUAAACUAAGGCCUUAAGGUUAUAAAAGCAUCCAGUUUUUCCAUACUGAUUCUUAAAUUACAUUUAAGUUUGCUAAUUUAUGUAUUGCAAUUUCCAUCUCUUUUUUUCCCCCCGCAUUCAGUAGUCCCAAUGUGCUGUAGUUUUGGCUGAAGUAAUAUUCGUCAUUUAAUUUAGUUUGGUGACUUUUAUGUCAUACCCAAUAGUGGGUUUCUGUGCAUCCAGGCUGAACUGUGAUGCCUGACCACCGUUCAAACUUAAAAAAAUAAAAUAAAAUAACUGAAAUGUUUGCACCUAAAACAUUUGACCAAAAGUCAUUGAAGAUGUUUAGAAAUCUGAUUAUGGAGUUGUGAAAUUUAAAAUGGGUAGAAAUCCACUACAUGGAUCUGGCCUUUCUGUUCUAAUUUAGCUUGUUAAAUAAAAAAUAAAAAAACUAAGAACAAACCAAAAAAACGACAGAAAAAAGCUAAACCAAACCUAGAAACAAACUUGUAACUUGUAACUGAAACAAACACUCAGAAGGGUUAGAAAACGGCUGGUUUAAACCAGUUUGAGCUAGCUUCUUUUUAGCUAGCUCAAACUACUUUUAAGAACAAAUUUCAUCAAACAUAAAUCAACAAUUAUGCUCUAAUGUUUCAAUGUUACAUAAUGAUUAACUUUAGCUUCUAAUACAUUUGGUAUAUUGUUUUUUAAAACCAUUUUACAAACAAUUUAAUCACUUACUAAUGAGCUAAUCGUUAGCUAAUGACACUGCAGCUAGCUAAAAAUGGUUUGGACUGAUCUGGAAUAAAAGCAGCUUAGAGCAAGUGAACACAUUUAAACUCAGUUCCAUUGGGGCCUUACAGGUGUGCUAUAACUUCUUUAUGUUUAGUAUUUGUGGCUGAUUUUAAAGAUGUAUGGGUAAUCAUGAGAACACUUUUCAGUUGGCUGGUAUCUUUAUGACAAGUUUAAUUUUCAAAAAUUAGAAAUGGAAUAUUAGGGUCCCUUUAAACAGUUUGGAUGCUACAAAUCAUCAGUCUGAGUACACUUGAUGUUGAUUAGUGCACUACGGUUAUUACUAAUAUAUGUAUAAUACAUGACUUGUAAUGUACUACAAUUUAACUUGAAUGUUAUUAAUGGUCCAGAACAUUAGCCACUGAGUAGUGCUGUAACCUUAUCUACUCUACCCUCAUAUAUAUUGUUACCUGUAAUAUGUGCAAUAAAUACGCUAAAGAUAAAAA